UCCCUGGUGGCUCAGACAUUAAAGUAUCUGCCUGCAACGUGGGAGACCUGGGUUUGAUCCCCAGCUUGGGAA
rnacentral:tRNA from 1 species